rnacentral:lncRNA from 1 species
GGUGGUUAAUUACUCAUAUUGGUUAUUCAAUGUGUAGCGUAUGAUCCACCAUUAAGUAAUAAAAAAAUACAGAUGGAACGUCGCGUUAGCUACCGGCAAAUGCUCCCCCGCUUUCAUUUCAAAUUUGAAUUGAAUUGCUAAUUGUUUUUAAAUCCUAACUUAUUGUACCAAGUAAAAUCAUUUUAAUUAAAUGCAAAAAUUCAUAAAGGUUUAAAUUUUUUAUGCCAUUAUCCAAAAAUAUAUUAAAUGUCAUGAAAUACAUCAUAAUAGUUAAUUGACAAAAGGAGAGAAGCACCACAGUACUUCUACGUUUCGGUUAGUCAAAUAACCUUAUCGGGGUGUUGGAGUUGGUGGUAUUAGAGCUAACGUUUAGGCCUUUCUAGGUGUUAAGGAGAAGGAACAAGUAUAAGCAAAUGUGUAUACCUUAUAGGUUAAGGUCUGGAUAUAACUCUACUAUAGGCUUUUGUAAGUUGGCUAAGAAUGUUAUUUGACAUUCAACAUGUGUUAGAAGACACAGGUGAUAGUGUAAAGUCGUGAUCGCGAUCGCGAUAAUCUAUUCAAUGCUACUAAUGUUUGUAUUGUAAGCUGCAGAUUGCAUUAUGGACAUUGGAGCAUUGAGUGGAAAUUGUGUGCAUCACUUUUAAGAAUCUGCUAGGAUAUAGUAGAUGCCUUAUAUCUGAUGCAGUUGUACCAUGACAAGUUUCUAACUGCUGUGAAUUGACUUCGAAUAAAAGUUUAUAUCCUUUUAGAAUAAAAUACUAGAGAUAUUAGCAAUAAGGUAUAGAGAAAUUCUAUGAGAGCGACAAUGUACUCAAAAAACAUAAUUAUUUUUGUGUUGUUUAUCAUUAAAAAGAGGAAUUUUAUAAAUGUUAUGAUAUAAGAGAAAUGAAAACAGAGGAGAGGUAUGAGUAGGUGAAAUAGGCUAGAACAUGUUAGUGACCAAUCUUCUUGUUCACUUUUUACUGUGAUGAUUGUUUGAUAUCGAAACAUAGUUUUAACCUUCGAGAGAAAUAAAGUUGAAUUAUCAUAAUAACAGAUUCAAGAGUUUUAAAGAAAGUUUAAUUAUCUAAACAUUAUGUAAGAGGAGAUUGAAGAUACAAGGAGAACACGCACAUAAAAUAAUUGAUAUUUAUGAGAUGGCAGGUGUGAUUAAGGGGUUAAUUUAUCUCAUUAAUGACAUAUUAGUUAGUUUUGCUAGGAAAAAACUAACGAAGAUUGUAGAGUUUAUCCAACUUUUAAGAACAUGACAUAGAUAGUGUAUGAUUUCGUAAUUUACUUUUUGAUAAAUAUUUCGAUUCAUCACUUGGAAGUGGAUAGGGUUGCCUUUAAGAUUAUAUUGAAGGUCUAUGUUUAAAAAUCGAAUUAAUCACUGCAAUAGUUUAUUCUUUUUCCCUUUUUAGAAGCAUAUAAUAUUUGAUAAGAUUAGAUAAAUUAUUUUGGCGGAAUUGAUAUUAUUUGAGAUAAUAUUGUUGUUUAUUGGAAGUUUAGUUUUUAUCUAUAUUGAUGAUAUAGUUAGAUUUUAAACAAUUUAAUCGGUACAAGUAAUUAUUAUUGAUAGGUUAUAUUGAUAUCUGUUUACAUAUAAAUAUGUGUAUAUAUAUAUAUAUAUAUAUAUAUAUGUUUUGAAUAUUGGUAUUUAGUUUCUUAAUACGAUUGUGCUAUGAAAAUAUGAAAAUAUAAUUAUUUAUGUUUCCUUAGUUAUUUACUGGAUUCCGGAUAUAACCCUUAUUUGUCCAAUAGAUUAUUGAAUAAAUGAAUAAGAUUAUUUUUGUAUAGCAUAGUGUGAUAUUGUGGUUGAUUAUUAGCAAGAAUAAAUUAUGUUAGUAUAAACAUUAUGUAAUAUAUCUAUUGUUAAGAGAUACGUGGACCUGAUCCUCUAUUGGAGGUACGUAGGCAGGCUUCGGGUGCGGUCCAAAUAUAACAUAUGUUAAGACUUUAAUCAGCAAAUAGUAGCAAUGUAAAUUCAAGCCAUAUUAACAUAUUUUCAUGUUGAAUAAAUUACUUAUUGGAAAUUUAAUAAGUUUAAAUGACUAAAAUAAUUAACACACAUAUAAUUAUAUUUAUAAGAGUAUAGAUAAAAAUAAAGCCACAAAAUAAAUCACUGAAUUAGAUAAGAUAUAGGAGAACAAUUUUCAUAAAGAGACCAUGAGUGAAUUAGACCCUUAAUAUUGUCAAAACAUGACUAUAACUUAGGAUAGAAGCAUAAGUACCUAAAAUGAAUAACUUGGAAAGCUUAUCAAAGGAAUGAAAAUUGGCAUGCGAAUAGGUGCAAUUUGUGAUAUAGAACAGCAAUUGAAAGGCAGUGUCACAAUCUAGAUAUAAAACGUAAGUUGGCAUUUGAAAGGCAGUGUCGUAGUUCAGUUAUAAGGCAUAGACGAAGUGUUGCACCUAUCCCAAAUCCUCAUUCACUAGCAGACUAAAUGAAAUUGUUUCUUGAAAAAAUAAAGAAUAGUGGCAUAAAAAUCCAAAAUUUUAUUUCUUGGCACAAUAAAUUAGGAUUUAAAAAUAUUUGGCGAUUCUUUACAAAUUUGAAUUGAAAGUGGGGGAGCAUUUGUCGGUAGCAGGCCAUAUUGUAUUUUUAUAUUACUUGAUGCUGGACUCUAUACUACACCUUGGAUAACCAAGGCGAGGUAUUAAUUCGUGGUUAAUUAAGGUAAAAUUCUUAAAUGGUGUAGAAAAACCUAAAACGCUUUCAUCGACGCCGUCGCUCGCUGCCGAAUUUAUUUUCCCGACUUCGUCCUUCGCACAAAAAGUUGGCCUUCUCGCUUCACCACCAUUUUGGCCUCAGAAAAGGAGAUAUUGCCUUCAUGCUUUCUCCUAACUCUAUUCACUUUUUGGUCCUUUCUUUCUAUACUUCUCUCUCGUUGUCGUUACCUCUCCUUAAAAAUCAAUUAUUUUUAAACUUGAGAUUCUCCACCAAAUUCAGCUGUCGAAACCUGUACUUGUGUUCGUCACGUCGAAUGCUGCUCAUACAAUUCCUAAUCUCAAAACAAUCGUACUCGACUCUCCCGAGUUUGAAUCGCUCAUGAUGAGUCUAGCUCACUGUGGGGAAAUGGAAGGAGGGAAGGUUUACCAAUUGGACGCUGCGACAAUUCUCUAUCCUCACGGACUACUGGUCGAGUUAAUGGAGUGGUUUUGGCUCAUCGAAAUUUCAGAUGCAUGGUGGCCCUAAGUCAUGCGGUUUACACGAGCUGGAUGGCAACUGCAACUUUCUUUUUUUUCGUUGCCUUAUUUUCAUGUUUAUGGUUUAUGUUAUUCCGUGAGAGGUUAAACUAUGGGAGUGGCGGUGGUGUGCAUAGGUAGAUUUGAUAUGAAGACAAUGUUGAUAGUAAUUCAUGAGUGUAAGAUAGACUGCACCGGUGGUGGUGCUGAUAACUAAGGAUCCUAGGUUGUUAGACGGCUAAGAUUUUAGGUCUCUAGAUGUUGCAGGUUGCAGCGUUGCUUCGCUUAGAAAAAGCGUAGUUGAACUGUUCCGUGAACAAUUUCGAAAUUUCACUUUAAGUGAGGUUAGUUAAACACCAAACUUGGAUUUUUACUAUUAACCGGUGGUUAAUUUCUCAUAUUGGCUAUUCAAUGUGUAGCGUAUGAUCCACCAUUAAGUAAUAAAAAAAAACAGAUGGAACGUCACGUUAGCUACCGGCAAAUGCUCCCCCACUUUCAUUUCAAAUUUGAAUUGAAUCGCUAAAUAUUUUUAAAUCCUAACUUAUUGUACCAAGUAAAAUCAUUUUAAUUAAAAUGCAAAAAUUCAUAAAGGUUUAAAUUUUUUAUGCCAUUUUCCAAAAAUAUAUUAAAUGUCAUGAAAUACAUGAUAAUAGUUAAUUGACAAAAUGAGAGAAGCACCACGGUACUUUUCCAUUUCGGUUAGUUAAAUAACAUUAUAGGGGUGUUGGAGUUAGUGGUAUUAGAGCUAACGUUUAGGCCUUUCUAGGUGUUAAGGAGAAGGAACAAGUAUAAGCAAAUNNNN